rnacentral:rRNA from 1 species
GACGAACGCUGGCGGCGUGCUUAACACAUGCAAGUCGAACGGGUCUGCCCUGUUUUUUGCGGGGUGGGUCAGUGGCGAACGGGUGAGUAACACGUGAGUAACCUGCCCCUCACUUCUGGAUAACCGCUUGAAAGGGUGGCUAAUACGGGGUGUUCUGGCUGUGCCGCAUGGUGUGGCUGGGAAAGAUUCACUUUUGUGGUGUUUUGGUGGGGGAUGGGCUCGCGGCCUAUCAGCUUGUUGGUGGGGUGAUGGCCUGCCAAGGCUUUGACGGGUAGCCGGCCCGAGAGGGUGGGCGGUCACACUGGGACUGAGAUACGGCCCAGACUCCUGCGGGAGGCAGCAGUGGGGGGUAUUGCACAAUGGGCGGAAGCCUGAUGCAGCGACGUCGCGUGAGGGAUGGAGGCCUUCGGGUUGUGAACCUCUUUCGCCGGUGAAGAAGGUCCUGCUCUUUGUGGUGGGGUUGACGGUAGCCGGGUUAUGAAGCGCCGGCUAACUACGUG